CUGAAGUGGAGAAGGUGAAAGCUGAAAUGGAAUAGACUUAUCCUGCAAUAUGGCUAUAUGGGCAGAAGUAGGAUAAUUGGAACAUCGACAUAGUGACCAAGAAUUAUCACAAGAGAUGGAACUAUGUGGGUAUUCUCCAUCCUGAGGCUGAUUAAUAAAAAAACUUGAGCUAGCAAGUGAAGAUAAGGUGGACAUCCCAUGCCAUGACGAGCCGGUCUGCCUACACUGCACGGCCUACUCAAGCGGUGGAUGAGCUGCAAGCUGAAGGACGAGGUCAGAGGCCGGUGGGUGCUCUGGCGAAU